rnacentral:rRNA from 1 species
CGCGUAGGUAACCUGCCUGGUAGCGGGGGAUAACUAUUGGAAACGAUAGCUAAUACCGCAUAAGAGUAGAUGUUGCAUGACAUUUGCUUAAAAGGUGCAAAUGCAUCACUACCAGAUGGACCUGCGUUGUAUUAGCUAGUUGGUGGGGUAACGGCUCACCAAGGCGACGAUACAUAGCCGACCUGAGAGGGUGAUCGGCCACACUGGGACUGAGACACGGCCCAG